rnacentral:tRNA from 1 species
GGUGGCUUGGUGGUAGAGUACUUGCCUUGCAUGCAUGAGGCCCUGGGUUCAAUUCCUCAGCACCA